rnacentral:snoRNA from 1 species
UAAAUAUGAUGAACAUAAUUCUUUGGUCCGUGUUUAUGAUGGGGAUUUAAGACCCCCCGACAUGACUGAAAAACGAAAUGGCAGGUGACACUGUCGUACUGAAAUU